AUUGAACGCUAGCGGGAUGCUUUACACAUGCAAGUCGAGCGAGUGGCGGACGGGUGAGUAAUGUAUGGGGACUGCCCGAUAGAGGGGGAUAACUACUGGAAACGGUAGCUAAUACCGCAUACUAUCGGAUAACCCAUACGGGAUUAGCUAGUAGGUGAGGUAAUGGCGCACCUAGCCGACGAUCCCUAGCUGGUCUGAGAGGAGGAUCAGCGACACGGGGACGUAGACACGGCCCAAAAUCCUACGGAGGCAGCAGUGGGGAAGAUGGCACAAGGGGCGCAAGCCUGAAGCAGCCAUGCCGCGUGUAUGAAGAAGGCCCUAGGGUUGUAAAGUACUUUCAGUCGGGAGGCGUUACCUGGAGAAGAAGCACCGGCUAACUCCGUGCCAGCAGCCGCGGUAAUUC
rnacentral:rRNA from 1 species